rnacentral:rRNA from 1 species
UACGGGGGGGCAAGCGUUGUUCGGAAUUACUGGGCGUAAAGGGCUCGUAGGUGGUCAACUAAGUCAUACGUGAAAUCCCUCGCUUAACCGGGGAACUGCGCCUGAUACUGGUUGACUUGAGUUUGGGAGAGGGACGCGGAAUUCCAGGUGUAGCGGUGAAAUGCGUAGAUAUCUGGAGGAACACCGGUGGCGAAGGCGGCGUCCUGGACCGACACUGACGCUGAGGCGCGGAAAGCUAGGGGAGCAAACGGGG